rnacentral:rRNA from 1 species
UACGUAGGGGGCAAGCGUUGUCCGGAAUCAUUGGGCGUAAAGCGCGCGUAGGCGGCCCCGUAAGUCCGCUGUGAAAGUCAAAGGCUCAACCUUUGAAAGCCGGUGGAUACUGUGGGGCUAGAGUCCGGAAGAGGCGAGUGGAAUUCCUGGUGUAGCGGUGGAAUGCGCAGAUAUCAGGAGGAACACCAAUAGCGAAGGCAGCUCGCUGGGACGGUACUGACGCUGAGGUGCGAAAGCGUGGGGAGCAAACAGG